GACGAACCGUCCUAACGUUGUUCGGAAUCACUGGGCUUAAAGGGCGCGUAGGCGGGUUCCCAAGUCGGUGGUGAAAUCUUUCGGCCCAACCGGAAAACAGCCGCCGAUACUGGGAGUCUUGAGGGAGGUAGGGGUCGAUGGAACUUCCGGUGGAGCGGUGAAAUGCGUAGAUAUCGGGAGGAACACCGGUGGCGAAGGCGGUUCUCUGGGCCUUACCUGACGCUGAGGAGCGAAAAGCGUGGGGGAGCGAACAGG
rnacentral:rRNA from 1 species